AGGGAGAUGAUGAUGGAAAGCCUGCCCUGAGGAAAUGCUUGCCAUUUGCCAUUCAGUCUGUAAAGCCACGCAUGCAUCUUCCUGAGAAUGGUUGCACGUGUGUGGCGUUGCAGGCUGUUAGCUGCUUGGGCAGGGAUCUCUCCAUGCGGGGUGGCAAGUCCCCAGGAAAGCCAUUUUCUGGUGGAAGAAAGGCCGGGGGGACUUCUCAGAGGUAAGGAGCCUUCAAAUGUACGGGGACCCCUAACUCAUGCGCCAAGCAUGCGAGACAAAUGUCCGUGGCACGAAGAUCGAGGACGACUUCUCAGAGCUCGCACAUCAGCGCUGCUCCGCGAAGCCCUGACUGCCGCUCUGCUUCCGCGCAUGCGCGGAGCCGGCCGGCUCGUCUAAGGAGGGGGAGCCGGGCGGCACCGCAGGACCCCUGCCCGCGGCAAAAUGGCGGCGCCCUUCUCCGGAACGGGAGCCGCGCCGCGCCCGGCACGGCACGGGACGCCGAGGCGCGGUACCUCUCCGGGAAGGGACUGGACGGGACGGGACGACGCGGCGACGGGCAGGCGGUUGGGGCGCCACGCGGUGGGCGGGUUCUGCGGAAAAGGCCCUUCUGCGGGGCGGGGGCGGCGCCGGAGCGGACCAGAGCGGACCGAGCGUGCUGCGAGGGCAGAAGCAGCUCCCCACCGCUAGGACCCCUGUGGGUUUUGUUGCCGAGCAAAGGUGGCACACCGGGUAAACCGAGAAAAGCUGCAGCUGGUGUGCUGCAGUUGCAGGUUUCCCAGGAGAAAGAGCAGCUCGUCUGUCCCGACUGUUCAGGCUGAAGCGUGACAGAGCCCUGCUGCUGGCUUGCAGAUCAGUGCCGAGCUACCGGAAGGAGGUUUUUAUGUACUUUUCCACUUCCUUCAAAGGGAAGUUGAAGCACAAACAAGCUGACUGAGAACACUCCAAAGUGGUAGACGUGAGACUUUUUGUAGGACGCCAGGUCUUUUCCCCUGUGAGCGGAAGGAAAGCUUGUUCGGGCACAGGUAUCUAUCACAGAGGGAUGCAGCUCUCUCGUUACCACUUCUGCUGACUCCUGAAGCGAUCCUCUGCGCUGGUCUGAUAUCCCUGCCUGUCUGUGGCAAAAGAGUUUGUCCCUCAGAUUGCAGAAGCAGCAUUGUGGAAUUUAGGUUGUGGUAGGUAUCGAGGCUGUAUUCAUGAAAUCUCAUCCAUCUCAAGUGUAGUGGUUUAACCUGGCCAGCAGCCAAACACCACACAGCUGUUCGCUCACCCUCCCCUCUCCCUCUCUGGGAUGGGGGAGAGAAACAGGAAAGUGAAGCCUGUGGGUUGAGAUAAGGACAGUUUAUUAAGACGGGAAAAUAAUAACAAUAAUAAUGAUGAUGAUGAUAGUAUUACUAAUAAUAAUGUGUACGAAACAAGUGAUGCACAAUGCAAUUGCUCACCACCCGCUGACCGAUGCCCAGCCUAU
rnacentral:lncRNA from 1 species